AGAUUAAGUUAUUAAGGGCGCACGGUGGAUGCCUUGGCACUAGAAGCCGAUGAAGGACGUUACUAACGACGAUAUGCUUUGGGGAGCUGUAAGUAAGCUUUGAUCCAGAGAUUUCCGAAUGGGGAAACCCAGCAUGAGUUAUGUCAUGUUAUCGAUAUGUGAAUACAUAGCAUAUCAGAAGGCACACCCGGAGAACUGAAACAUCUUAGUAACCGGAGGAAGAGAAAGAAAAUUCGAUUCCCUUAGUAGCGGCGAGCGAAACGGGAAGAGCCCAAACCAACAAGCUUGCUUGUUGGGGUUGUAGGACACUCUAUACGGAGUUACAAAGGACGACAUUAGACGAAUCAUCUGGAAAGAUGAAUCAAAGAAGGUAAUAAUCCUGUAGUCGAAAAUGUUGUCUCUCUUGAGUGGAUCCUGAGUACGACGGAGCACGUGAAAUUCCGUCGGAAUCUGGGAGGACCAUCUCCUAAGGCUAAAUACUCUCUAGUGACCGAUAGUGAACCAGUACCGUGAGGGAAAGGUGAAAAGCACCCCGGAAGGGGAGUGAAAUAGAACCUGAAACCGUGUGCUUACAAGUAGUCAGAGCCCGUUAAUGGGUGAUGGCGUGCCUUUUGUAGAAUGAACCGGCGAGUUACGAUUUGAUGCAAGGUUAAGCAGUAAAUGUGGAGCCGUAGCGAAAGCGAGUCUGAAUAGGGCGUUUAGUAUUUGGUCGUAGACCCGAAACCAGGUGAUCUACCCUUGGUCAGGUUGAAGUUCAGGUAACACUGAAUGGAGGACCGAACCGACUUACGUUGAAAAGUGAGCGGAUGAACUGAGGGUAGCGGAGAAAUUCCAAUCGAACCUGGAGAUAGCUGGUUCUCUCCGAAAUAGCUUUAGGGCUAGCCUCAAGUGAUGAUUAUUGGAGGUAGAGCACUGUUUGGACGAGGGGCCCCUCUCGGGUUACCGAAUUCAGACAAACUCCGAAUGCCAAUUAAUUUAACUUGGGAGUCAGAACAUGGGUGAUAAGGUCCGUGUUCGAAAGGGAAACAGCCCAGACCACCAGCUAAGGUCCCAAAAUAUAUGUUAAGUGGAAAAGGAUGUGGCGUUGCCCAGACAACUAGGAUGUUGGCUUAGAAGCAGCCAUCAUUUAAAGAGUGCGUAAUAGCUCACUAGUCGAGUGACACUGCGCCGAAAAUGUACCGGGGCUAAACAUAUUACCGAAGCUGUGGAUUGUCCUUUGGACAAUGGUAGGAGAGCGUUCUAAGGGCGUUGAAGCAUGAUCGUAAGGACAUGUGGAGCGCUUAGAAGUGAGAAUGCCGGUGUGAGUAGCGAAAGACGGGUGAGAAUCCCGUCCACCGAUUGACUAAGGUUUCCAGAGGAAGGCUCGUCCGCUCUGGGUUAGUCGGGUCCUAAGCUGAGGCCGACAGGCGUAGGCGAUGGAUAACAGGUUGAUAUUCCUGUACCACCUAUAAUCGUUUUAAUCGAUGGGGGGACGCAGUAGGAUAGGCGAAGCGUGCGAUUGGAUUGCACGUCUAAGCAGUAAGGCUGAGUAUUAGGCAAAUCCGGUACUCGUUAAGGCUGAGCUGUGAUGGGGAGAAGACAUUGUGUCUUCGAGUCGUUGAUUUCACACUGCCGAGAAAAGCCUCUAGAUAGAAAAUAGGUGCCCGUACCGCAAACCGACACAGGUAGUCAAGAUGAGAAUUCUAAGGUGAGCGAGCGAACUCUCGUUAAGGAACUCGGCAAAAUGACCCCGUAACUUCGGGAGAAGGGGUGCUCUUUAGGGUUAACGCCCAGAAGAGCCGCAGUGAAUAGGCCCAAGCGACUGUUUAUCAAAAACACAGGUCUCUGCUAAACCGUAAGGUGAUGUAUAGGGGCUGACGCCUGCCCGGUGCUGGAAGGUUAAGAGGAGUGGUUAGCUUCUGCGAAGCUACGAAUCGAAGCCCCAGUAAACGGCGGCCGUAACUAUAACGGUCCUAAGGUAGCGAAAUUCCUUGUCGGGUAAGUUCCGACCCGCACGAAAGGCGUAACGAUUUGGGCACUGUCUCAACGAGAGACUCGGUGAAAUCAUAGUACCUGUGAAGAUGCAGGUUACCCGCGACAGGACGGAAAGACCCCGUGGAGCUUUACUGUAGCCUGAUAUUGAAAUUCGGCACAGCUUGUACAGGAUAGGUAGGAGCCUUUGAAACGUGAGCGCUAGCUUACGUGGAGGCGCUGGUGGGAUACUACCCUAGCUGUGUUGGUUUUCUAACCCGCACCACUUAUCGUGGUGGGAGACAGUGUCAGGCGGGCAGUUUGACUGGGCGGUCGCCUCCUAAAAGGUAACGGAGGCGCUCAAAGGUUCCCUCAGAAUGGUUGGAAAUCAUUCAUAGAGUGUAAAGGCAUAAGGGAGCUUGACUGCGAGACCUACAAGUCGAGCAGGGUCGAAAGACGGACUUAGUGAUCCGGUGGUUCCGCAUGGAAGGGCCAUCGCUCAACGGAUAAAAGCUACCCCGGGGAUAACAGGCUUAUCUCCCCCAAGAGUUCACAUCGACGGGGAGGUUUGGCACCUCGAUGUCGGCUCAUCGCAUCCUGGGGCUGUAGUCGGUCCCAAGGGUUGGGCUGUUCGCCCAUUAAAGCGGUACGCGAGCUGGGUUCAGAACGUCGUGAGACAGUUCGGUCCCUAUCCGUCGUGGGCGUAGGAAAUUUGAGAGGAGCUGUCCUUAGUACGAGAGGACCGGGAUGGACAUACCUCUGGUGUACCAGUUGUCGUGCCAACGGCAUAGCUGGGUAGCUAUGUGUGGACGGGAUAAGUGCUGAAAGCAUCUAAGCAUGAAGCCCCCCUCAAGAUGAGAUUUCCCAACUUCGGUUAUAAGAUCCCUCAAAGAUGAUGAGGUUAAUAGGUUCGAGGUGGAAGCAUGGUGACAUGUGGAGCUGACGAAUACUAAUCGAUCGAAGACUUAAUCAAAUU
rnacentral:rRNA from 1 species